UACGAAGGGUGCAAGCGUUAAUCGGAAUUACUGGGCGUAAAGGGUGCGUAGGCGGUUGUUUAAGUCUGUCGUGAAAUCCCCGGGCUCAACCUGGGAAUGGCGAUGGAUACUGGGCAGCUAGGGUGUGUCAGAGGAUGGUGGAAUUCCCGGUGUAGCGGUGAAAUGCGUAGAGAUCGGGAGGAACAUCAGUGGCGAAGGCGGCCAUCUGGGACAACACUGACGCUGAAGCACGAAAGCGUGGGGAGCAAACAGG
rnacentral:rRNA from 1 species